UACGAAGGGGGCUAGCGUUGCUCGGAAUUACUGGGCGUAAAGCGCGUGUAGGCGGUUAUCCAAGUUGGAUGUGAAAGCCUUGAGCUUAACUCAAGAAAUGCAUUCAGGACUGGGUGACUAGAGGACCGGAGAGGAUAGUGGAAUUCCCAGUGUAGUGGUGAAAUACGUAGAGAUUGGGAAGAACACCAGUGGCGAAGGCGGCUAUCUGGACGGUUUCUGACGCUAAGACGCGAAAGCGUGGGGAGCAAACAGG
rnacentral:rRNA from 1 species